GACGAACCGUGCGAACGUUAUUCGGAAUCACUGGGCUUAAAGCGCGUGUAGGCGGGCCGGCACGUCGGUCGUUGAAAUCCCCCGGCUCAACCGGGGAAGCGGCGCCGAUACGACCGGCCUCGAGGGACGUAGGGGGGGCUGGAACUUCCGGUGGAGCGGUGAAAUGCGUUGAGAUCGGAAAGAACACCAACGGCGAAAGCACUCUGCUGGGCCGACACUGACACUGAGAGACGAAAGCUAGGGGAGCAAAUGGG
rnacentral:rRNA from 1 species